AGUGGGAUAACUGGGUCAAAUGGAGGUUCCAUUCUGAGUUUUCUGAGCAAUCUCCAUGCUGCUUUCCAGAGUAGUUAUACCAAUUUGAAGUCCCACCAGCAAU
rnacentral:pre_miRNA from 1 species